rnacentral:tRNA from 1 species
GGCACCAUGGCUUAGUGGCUAAAGCACCUGUCUAGUAAACAGGAAUCCUGGGUUCAACUCCCAGUGGUGCCU